GGUUAUAGCUCAGUGGUAGAGCGCUUGCCUCUUACAUGUGAGGCACUGGGUUCGAUCCUCAGCACCA
rnacentral:tRNA from 1 species